rnacentral:misc_RNA from 1 species
GAUGAAGAACGUAGCGAAAUGCGAUAAGUAAUGUGAAUUGCAGAAUUCAGUGAAUCAUCGAAUCUUUGAACGCACAUUGCGCCCGCCAGUAUUCUGGCGGGCAUGCCUGUUCGAGCGUCAUUUCAACCAUCAAGCCCCCGGGCUUGUGUUGGGGACCUGCGGCUGCCGCAGGCCCUGAAAAGCAGUGGCGGGCUCGCUGUCACACCGAGCGUAGUAGAUUUUAUCUCGCUCUGGGCAUGCUGCGGGUUCCGGCCGUUAAACCACCCUUUUAACCCAAGGUUGACCUCGGAUCAGGUAGGAAGACCCGCUGAACUUAAGCAUAUCAAUAAGCGGAGGA